AGUGAACGCUGGCGGUAGGCCUAACACAUGCAAGUCGAACGGCAGCACAGUAAGAGCUUGCUCUUACGGGUGGCGAGUGGCGGACGGGUGAGGAAUACAUCGGAAUCUACUUUUUCGUGGGGGAUAACGUAGGGAAACUUACGCUAAUACCGCAUACGACCUACGGGUGAAAGCAGGGGAUCUUCGGACCUUGCGCGAUUGAAUGAGCCGAUGUCGGAUUAGCUAGUUGGCGGGGUAAAGGCCCACCAAGGCGACGAUCCGUAGCGGGUCUGAGGGGAUGGUCGGCCAACCGGAAAGGGGACCACGGCCCAAACCCCAAGGGGGGGACGAGGUGGGAAAUUUUGGCAAUGGGGGAAAGCCCGACGGCGCAACGACCCGGGGGGGAAAGAGGGCCUUGGGGUUGAAAACCCUUUUUUUGGGGAAAAAAAAACGGCAGGUUAACCCCCCGCUUUUUGAAGGUACCCCAAAAAAAAAGCACGGCUAAAUUCGGG
rnacentral:rRNA from 1 species